AUGGAAGCUUCGGCGCUGGUCAGUUGUGACCGAAACUCCGCCGGCUCGGGCCUGGGAGGAGACAGAGGGGGUGGGGUCUCGGUCCUCCCUCCACGGGAAGUCGGGGCGAGGGUGGGCCGCGAAGCGCUGGGGGCCGCGUGGGGCCGGCCCGACACCUACCUGCGGGUCCCGGGCAGCCGCCCCAGAGCGAGGCCUAGUGCAUCGCCGCCGCCUCCAAGCCUCCACGUCGCGCCGAGGCUGCUGCUCCGCGGCCGCCGCCGCCCGGAGCCCGGCUGGGCCCGAGCCCGGCUUCCCGCCCCCGACCCGCGCCGGCUGGCCAGUCGGCCGGGGGAGCACAGGGCCGCCCUCUCGAGCCCCGCUCCGCUCGGGGGUGAGAGGCGGCAGCGACCACUACCCCUAGCGAUUCUGCUCCCUGCUCUAUUGCUUCUCCUCACCCCGCCCGCCCGCCUCGGUCUGGCUAGGUCCAGGGGAGACAGCGCCGGAGGCCGCCGCGAGGCCUCCGCAGCCCCCAGCCCACAAUCCACCGCGCGGCUCCACCGGGGCGGGAGGCCGCGGCCCGGGCCGGGGGGGAGCGCUUGCCGUCUCGGGAGAGGGCCGGGCCUGGCGCGGGCGCCGCCGGCGUUACCCCGGAGCGGGGAAUACCCCGCGCGGCUGCUCGGCGCCUCCUCUAAUCUCUAAUAACCCCCAGGCAGAGACAGAAACCCAAGCUGAACUCGACUUUUCCCGGCGACCCCUCCCCCACCCCCAGGUGCUCUCGGCUGCAGCCAGGUGCCGCUUGCCGCCUUCCCGGGUCGGUAUGCGACCCCUCAGGGUGGCCCUCGCCCAACCCCUAGAGCAACCGACACCAAACAUCCCUCAAUCACCCAGCACCUAUUAAAGUAGGUACUUCCACAAUAUUUCCACCUCUCCUUUCACCCCUUUUAAAGUGAAGGCUGUUCAGAGUUUCCCGGUUAAGUGUCCUUUGAAAGGUUUAAGGUCACCCCCUCCCCAACAAUCCACUGGACUCGAAACAGUGCACUCCCUAUGGAGGCCUUCUCC
rnacentral:lncRNA from 1 species